GUUCUCGUAGCUCAGUUGGAUAGAGCACUCGCCUCCUAAGCGAGGGGUCGGAAGUUCAAGUCUUCUCGGGAACG
rnacentral:tRNA from 1 species